rnacentral:misc_RNA from 1 species
AAGUCGUAACAAGGUUUCCGUAGGUGAACCUGCGGAAGGAUCAUUAACAAAAAUCGCAAAGAUUUUUUGAUUCAACAUGUGAACUUUUAACCCAAACAACGAAUUACGUAUUCUUCGAAAGGGCUUCUUCGGAAGUCUCAUUAGAAAACUUUGAACAACUCUUAGCAGUGGAUAUCUCGGCUCUC